rnacentral:rRNA from 1 species
ACGCUGGCGGCGUGCUUAACACAUGCAAGUCGAACGAUGAAGCCCAGGCUUGGCUGGGUGGAUUAGUGGCGAACGGGUGAGUAACACGUGGGUGAUCUGCCCUGCACUCUGGGAUAAGCCUGGGAAACUGGGUCUAAUACCGGAUAUGACCUCUUGCUGCAUGGCGAGGGGUGGAAAGUUUUUCGGUGCAGGAUGAGCCCGCGGCCUAUCAGCUUGUUGGUGGGGUAAUGGCCUACCAAGGCGACGACGGGUAGCCGGCCUGAGAGGGCGACCGGCCACACUGGGACUGAGACACGGCCCAGACUCCUACGGGAGGCAGCAGUGGGGAAUAUUGCACAAUGGGCGAAAGCCUGAUGCAGCGACGCCGCGUGAGGGAUGACGGCCUUCGGGUUGUAAACCUCUUUCAGCAGGGACGAAGCGAAAGUGACGGUACCUGCAGAAGAAGCACCGGCCAACUACGUG